rnacentral:rRNA from 1 species
AUACGGAGGAUGCGAGCGUUAUCCGGAUUUAUUGGGUUUAAAGGGAGCGUAGGUGGGAUAUUAAGUCAGCUGUGAAAGUUUGGGGCUCAACCUUAAAAUUGCAGUUGAUACUGGUUUCCUUGAGUACGGUAUAGGUGGGCGGAAUUCGUGGUGUAGCGGUGAAAUGCUUAGAUAUCACGAAGAACUCCGAUCGCGAAGGCAGCUCACCGGGCCGGAACUGACACUGAUGCUCGAAAGUGCGGGUAUCAAACAGGAUUAGAUACCCUGGUUGUCCGCACAGUAAACGAUGAAUACUCGCUGUUUGCGAUACACUGUAAGCGGCCAAGCGAAAGCGUUAAGUAUUCCACCUGGGGAGUACGCCGGCAACGGUGAAACUUAAAGGAAUUGACGGGG